rnacentral:sRNA from 1 species
CGGGUUUCUCCUGCUUAGGUUAAGUUCAUCGGGCUUGCGCCGGAUGGGUUUUGGUGCUUUGCACCAUCUGCGCAGGCCGGAUAAGUCAAUCAUCCGUUUAAGGCUUCGCCGCCUGCGGUCUUGGACGGCUCCCGCAAGCAGGAACCCCAAUUCUUUGCCAGAGCGCUCUGGCGA